rnacentral:lncRNA from 1 species
UUGGGUCAACAGAAGCUCUCAAAGAAGCCUUUGGAGGCACUUUGAAUCCCAAAUUGAGAAAGUUAACUAUCAAGUUUGACACUUAUAAGAAAUACUCAAAUGUUAUAAUGGGAUAGUAUCUACGAGAUAUAUCAAACAUGAUCAGAAAGCUUAAGUCCACUGGUAAUAUGCUCAUUGAUGAGCAGUAAGUGCAGCCAGUGAUUCAUUCCUUGCCUAAA